rnacentral:lncRNA from 1 species
CCCUGGGGGGAUGCAGACAAGGCCUGAGGGAUGGGCUCUGCCCAGGUUUGUUGUGAGGCCUCCCCAGGGUCGCUGAUCUCCCCUUGCUGUCUCUGCCCAGGUGUUGGAGGUCCAGCAGCAGCAGCCAAAGCAGCAGCCAAGGCAGCCAAAUUUGGUGCUGGGGUUGGAGGGGUGCCCGGUGUGGGCGGAGUGCCCGGAGUGACCCCCGGCGUUGGUGGCGUGCCCGGCUUGGUGCCAGGGGUGGGAGUACCUGGAACUGGAAUCCUUCCCGGGGCAGGCAUCCCCCAAGUAGGGGUGCAGCCUGGUGCUAAACCUCCCAAAUUCGGUACG